CCUACGGGCGGCAGCAGUGAGGAAUAUUGGUCAAUGGGCGAGAGCCUGAACCAGCCAAGUAGCGUGAAGGAUGAAUGCUCUACGGUUUGUAAACUUCUUUUAUAAGGGAAUAAAGUGAGGAACGUGUGCCUUUUUGUAUGUACUUUAUGAAUAAGGAUCGGCUAACUCCGUGCCAGCAGCCGCGGUAAUACGGAGGAUGCGAGCGUUAUCCGGAUUUAUUGGGUUUAAAGGGUGCGUAGGUGGUUUGUUAAGUCAGCUGUGAAAGUUUGUGCCUCAACCGUAAAAUUGCAAUUGAAACUGGCUGACUUGAGUAUAGUUGAGGUAGGCGGAAUGCGUGGUGUAGCGGUGAAAUGCAUAGAUAUCACGAAGAACUCCGAUUGCGAAGGCAGCUUACUAAACUAUAACUGACAUUGAUGCACGAAAGUGUGGGGAUCAAACAGGAUUAGAUACCCCUGUAGUC
rnacentral:rRNA from 1 species